AACGAACGCUGGCGGCAGGCUUAACACAUGCAAGUCGAGCGCCCCGCAAGGGGAGCGGCAGACGGGUGAGUAACGCGUGGGAAUCUACCCAUCUCUACGGAAUAACGCAUGGAAACGUGUGCUAAUACCGUAUACGUCCUUCGGGAGAAAGAUUUAUCGGAGAUGGAUGAGCCCGCGUUGGAUUAGCUAGUUGGCGGGGUAAAGGCCUACCAAGGCGACGAUCCAUAGCUGGUCUGAGAGGAUGAUCAGCCACACUGGGACUGAGACACGGUCCAGACUCCUACGGGAGGCAGCAGUGGGGAAUAUUGGACAAUGGGCGCAAGCCUGAUCCAGCCAUGCCGCGUGAGUGAUGAAGGCCCUAGGGUUGUAAAGCUCUUUCACCGGUGAAGAUAAUGACGGUAACCGGAGAAGAAGCCCCGGCUAACUUCGUGCCAGCCGCCGCGGUAAAAC
rnacentral:rRNA from 1 species